rnacentral:rRNA from 1 species
CUCCAUCUAAGGCUAAAUACGACCACGAGACCGAUAGCGAACAAGUACCCCGAGGGAAAGUUGAAAAGGACUUUGAAGAGAGAGUUCAAUAGAGCGUGAAACCGUUGCGAGCUUACAAAACGGAUGGGCAUACGACUCUUAACGCUGAGACACAAACCGAUCGGCUCGGAGGCCAUAGCGCCGGUUGCGACCGGAGUCUCCCUGAGGCCCUUCGCGGGGCGGCUCUUUCUUCGCGGCGCGGAGCAUUUCGGUGUUCCGUCGUCGGGGGGAUGGGGUCUCUCGCGAGUUUCGCGGCCGAAGGAUUUUCGGACUCUCGGCGAACGGCGCCUUGGACCGACGAGACGAGAGGUGCACUUCUCUGUCAGUAAGACGCCGCGCCCGUUGGCGGCGUUGCCGAUGGCCCGGGUUAAAACGGGAACCG